rnacentral:rRNA from 1 species
UACGAGGGUCCAAGCGUUUAUCCGGAAUCACUGGGCGUAAAGCGUGCGUAGGUGGAUUGUUAAGUGCGGUGCGAAAUCCUGUGGCUCAACCAUAUGGACUGUAUCGCAUACUGGCAACCUAGAGGACAUGAGAGGCAAGUGGAAUUACUGGUGUAGCAGUGAAAUGCGUAGAGAUCAGUAGGAACACCAAUGGCGAAGGCAGCUUGCUGGCAUGUAUCUGACGCUAAGGCACGAAAGCGUGGGGAGCAA